UAUCGGGUAGCUUAUUUAUUUAAAGCGUUGAUUUUGUAAUUCAAAGAUUGGAAUAUUCUCCCUCGAUUG
rnacentral:tRNA from 1 species